UAACCACGACAACUCCUGAUCGGGCGGGACAGCGGAUUGGUUCGGGGCGGCAGCUGCAGACUCUAAAAGGAAGGACCUGUGGAGACGGAACGGACUUCUCCACUGAACUUAAAGAAGAUGCGGUCAUCCACUGGGGAGUGAAAAACUUAAACUAAGAGGACUUUGCAGAUAAUACCUUUGAUGAUGUACUUGUGAUCCCCGGACAGCCAUGCACAUAGGAAUGAGGACUUCCAUACAACGUGGAACUGGGAUUUGUGCACGCCUGCACGCAGCUCUGGGUGUGAAACAAGGACAUCAAGAACUGGAUGACGAAUAGCAGGAACACAAGAGAUUUUCCUGGGAAUGCAUCCAAGAAGUGCUAGUGGAGGCUUUAUAGUUGAUCAGUUUGUCAAAAGGAGUACUUUUUCCAGCAUGCAACAUUAUUCACUUAAUUUUUCAUUAG